AACGAACGCUGGCGGCAUGCCUAACACAUGCAAGUCGAACGAGACCUUCGGGUCUAUUGGCGCACGGGUUCGUAACGCGUGGGAACCUUCCCUUAGGUUCGGAAUAACUCCCCGAAAGGGGUGCUAAUACCGGAUAAUGUCUUCGGACCAAAGAUUUAUCGCCUUUGGAUGUGCCCGCGUUGGAUUAGCUAGUUGGUAGGGUAAAAGCCUACCAAGGCGACGAUCCAUAGCUGGUCUGAGAGGAUGACCAGCCACACUGGGACUGAGACACGGCCCAGACUCCUACGGGAGGCAGCAGUGGGGAAUAUUGGACAAUGGGCGAAAGACUGAUGCAGCAAUGACGCGUGAGUGAUGAAGGCCUUAGGGUUGUAAAGCUCUUUUAACCGGGAUGAUAAUGACAGUACCGGGAGAAUAAGCCACGGCUAACUACGUG
rnacentral:rRNA from 1 species